rnacentral:rRNA from 1 species
UAGGGAAUAUUGGACAAUGGGUGAGAGCCUGAUCCAGCCAUGCCGCGUGCAGGAAGAAGGCGUUAUGCGUUGUAAACUGCUUUUUGCCAGGGGAUAAAAUGAGCGUGCGCGCUUAAUUGAAGGUACCUGGUGAAUAAGCCACGGCUAACUACGUGCCAGCAGCCGCGGUAAUACGUAGGUGGCAAGCGUUGUCCGGAUUUAUUGGGUUUAAAGGGUGCGUAGGUGGCCCUGUAAGUCAGUGGUGAAAUAUCUCAGCUUAACUGAGAGGGUGCCAUUGAUACUGCAGGGCUUGAGUACAGAUGAGGUAGGCGGAAUUGACGGUGUAGCGGUGAAAUGCAUAGAUAUCGUCAAGAACACCGAUAGCGAAGGCAGCUUACCAAGCUGUAACUGACACUGAGGCACGAAAGUGUGGGGAUCAAACAGGAUUAGAUACCCACGUAGUCCCUGAGCGGGCUGGCAAGGCGCAU